rnacentral:lncRNA from 1 species
UGGGGCUACGGGAGUCCGGCUCCCGUAAGCGAAGUCGGGGUGAAGUCUGGCUCCCGUGGGAGUUCGGAUGAAGCCUACAUGCAAUUGAAGUUGGGGACGAGGUCCGACUCCUGUAGGAGUCUGGACAGAGUCUACCUGUAGUCAAAGUUGAGGACGAGGUCCGGCUCCUGUAGGAGUCCGGACGGAGUCUUUUUUCGAUCAAAGUCGAGGGCGAAGUCCGGCUCCCGUAGGAGUCCGGACGGAGUUUGCCUGC